GGUGCAAGCGUUAUCCGGAUUUACUGGGCUUAAAGGGUGCGUAGGUGGGUCUGUAAGUCAGUGGUGAAAUCUUCAAGCUUAACUUGGAAACUGCCAUUGAUACUAUAGGUCUUGAAUUAUCUGGAGGUAAGCGGAAUAUGUCAUGUAGCGGUGAAAUGCUUAGAGAUGACAUAGAAUACCUAUUGCGAAGGCAGCUUACUACGCAGAUAUUGACGCUGAGGCACGAAAGCGUGGGGAGCAAACAGG
rnacentral:rRNA from 1 species